rnacentral:rRNA from 1 species
CCUACGGGCGGCAGCAGUGAGGAAUAUUGGUCAAUGGGCGGGAGCCUGAACCAGCCAAGUCGCGUGAGGGAAGACGGUCCUAUGGAUUGUAAACCUCUUUUGGCGGGGAGCAAUGCCGGGCACGCGUGCCCGGAGGGAGAGUACCCGCAGAAUAAGCAUCGGCUAACUCCGUGCCAGCAGCCGCGGUAAUACGGAGGAUGCGAGCGUUAUCCGGAUUUAUUGGGUUUAAAGGGUGCGUAGGCGGAAUGUUAAGUCAGCGGUUAAAUGUCGGUGCUCAACACCGGCCCGCCGGUUGAACUGGGGUUCGUGAGUGGGCGAGAAGUAUGCGGAAUGCGUGGUGUAGCGGUGAAAUGCAUAGAUAUCACGCAGAACUCCGAUUGCGAAGGCAGCAUACCGGCGCUCAACUGACGCUGAGGCACGAAAGCGUGGGGAUCGAACAGGAUUAGAUACCCUGGUAGUC